AGAGCGGGGGAGAGCUGUACGGUGCUCGCCGAGUGCCCCCCGCCCGCGGAACCCCUCUCCCGCGGGUGCGCGGUGGUGGCCGCACAGCUCUGGCCCCGGUGCGGUGCGGGCGCGCAGCCCCGCGGGACUCCCCCCCGCCCUGCCAAGAUGAAUGGAAGAAGAGGAUGCCAAGUUCCUGAAAGCAACAAACACUUUAAUAAACACAACAAACACUGGGCCCAAUUCUACCUUUGUCUAUGCUGGUGUUAGUCUAACCUCUCUUCAUGCAGCUGUCAGCAGAAACACAACAAAAUGACAUUAUUCUCUCGGGGUCAAUAUUAAUUGCAAACCGAUGGCCACUUCUGAGCACGGGAGUGUUCCCCGGGCCGCGUUUGCUGCCGGGGGUGAGCCCGGGCAGUCCCAGCCCGGGGCUGAGCCGGAGGCGGCUUCGAGCCACACGGGGGAGUCGCAAUGCGCGCACGGCCAAGUUCGCGUCUCAUAAAUCACUCCUUGGAAACCUGAUUUCUCCGUGCUGCCGCCUUGUCAGUCUGUCUGGGAGAUAACACGAGAUCUGCAGCACUUAGCACAGCAAAAAACAAAGCUGGAAACACGCUGUUUCUAUAACAGAACGGCCCGUAAGUACGGCGGCUCGGGGUUUUCGCAGGGGGAGAAAUCUGUGCCAAGCGUGAUUCUCUUCACUGAACGCUGAGCCACCAGCUUGCCCGGUGAUGCCAUGUAGAACUCUCAGAAAAGUUAAAGAAAUCUCAGCCAUCAGUAAUAAAAUACUCGCGAUUUUGUGUAAUCCAUUGGGAAAGCAGAGGGUGUGGCAGGCUCAUGGCGUGACACGGAAUCUCCCAGCGGCAGUGGAACAGCAGUGCUGGAGCAGGAGCCAGGCCUGUGUCAUCGCAUUUCUCAUUGCAAUGAUGGCACAGCCUUCCACCACACAGCUGCAGGAAUAGUGGGCACGGGCCACGGUGUGGGCAGGCUCUGAUGCUCCUGUCCCAGGAUUUAAUGAUCCUGGUAUCCUGACAAAACCCACCUGCAGUAAGCACAGGCCAUGAGCAGUGGACAUACAGCCUGAAAAUCCUGCAGCAGUGAGCCAUCCUCAUUCCCCAAGUCCAUCCCAACCUGGAGGACACGGCGCUGGUGAGGGUCCUGAGCAAUGCACAGAGGGAAGUUCAGACAGGGAUCUCUCAACAUGGUUUUCUUGCAGUACUCAGGCCAUCCUAACGAACAUUCCCUUGGAUUUUUAUAAAUCGUUCUUAUGACCUUACCAUAUCACACAGGAGACUUACUUUCCCAGCUUAUUGUUACCUGCUACUAAUCCAGACGGCUGCUCGCACAAUGCACCAUUAUCCAGCAGAACAACACGUCCUGACAAACGCUGUUCAGUGAGCACUGGCCACCAAUCCGAGAGAGCCAGGGUCACUGCUGAACAAUACCAAGAGAGCUCUCACUAGCUUCUUCUCCCUCCUCCAUUCAAUGAGCUGUUAAUAGACAAGCUGUUAGAGAGAAAAAGAACUAAAUAGUUUACAAGCUUACAUUUGAAGGCCUGUGAAUUGCAUUAGCUCAGCCAGCUGAGUGAGAGCCAAGGCAAUCUCCCCACGAUUGUAGAAAAUGGCACUGAGGCAUGUGGAGGCAAAGAAAGAAUGACAGUGACCAGGUUUACAAUAUGCAAAGCUGAAAUAAUUACUGCUUUCUGUGGCAUAGAAUUUUUAGCUGAACUACAAUAUGGAAUCAAAGCAUUCUGUUAAAUGCACAAGUGUGUUUGUGUGUUCAUAUUUUAAAACUUUCUCUCUUCUGUGCAAAUAUUUAUUUACAGCGUUAAUAAAAACUUUCUGAAGCUGA